rnacentral:rRNA from 1 species
UACGGAGGAUGCGAGCGUUAUCCGGAUUUAUUGGGGUUAAAGGGUGCGUAGGCGGACUGUCAAGUCAGCGGUAAAAUUGAGAGGCUCAACCUCUUCCCGCCGUUGAAACUGGUGGUCUUGAGUGGAUGAGAAGUACGCGGAAUGCGCGGUGUAGCGGUGAAAUGCAUAGAUAUCGCGCAGAACUCCGAUUGCGAAGGCAGCAUGCCGGCUCCACACUGACGCUGAGGCACGAAAGCGUGGGUAUCGAACAGG